CCUACGGGUGGCAGCAGUGAGGAAUAUUGGUCAAUGGGAGAGAGCCUGAACCAGCCAAGCCGCGUGAGGGAAGACGGCCCUAUGGGUUGUAAACCUCUUUUGUCGGAGAACAAAACCCGGGACGAGUCCCGGACUGCGUGUAUCCGAAGAAAAAGCAUCGGCUAACUCCGUGCCAGCAGCCGCGGUAAUACGGAGGAUGCGAGCGUUAUCCGGAUUUAUGGGGUUUAAAGGGUGCGUAGGCGGUCUGUUAAGUCAGCGGUAAAAUUGCGGGGCUCAACCCCGUCGAGCCGUUGAAACUGGCAGACUUGAGUGGGCGAGAAGUACGCGGAAUGCGCGGUGUAGCGGUGAAAUGCAUAGAUAUCGCGCAGAACUCCGAUUGCGAAGGCAGCGUACCGGCGCCAGACUGACGCUGAGGCACGAAAGCGUGGGGAUCGAACAGGAUUAGAUACCCGGGUAGUC
rnacentral:rRNA from 1 species